rnacentral:rRNA from 1 species
CUGGGGAGUACGAUCGCAAGAUUAAAACUCAAAGGAAUUGAACGGGGCCCCGCACAAGCAGCGGAGCAUGCGGCUUAAUUCGACGCAACGCGAAGAACCUUACCAAGGCUUGACAUAUACAGGAAUAUGGCAGAGAUGUCAUAGCCGCAAGGUCUGUAUACAGGUGGUGCAUGGUUGUCGUCAGCUCGUGUCGUGAGAUGUUGGGUCAAGUCCCGCAACGAGCGCAACCCUUGUCCUAUGUUGCCAGCACGUAAUGGUGGGGACUCGUAGGAGACUGCCGGGGUCAACUCGGAGGAAGGUGGGGACGACGUCAAGUCAUCAUGCCCCUUAUGUCCAGGGCUGCAAACAUGCUACAAUGGCACAUACAAAGGGCUGCGAGACUGCGAAGUUGAGCGAAUCCCAAAAAGUGUUUCUCAGUUCGGAUUGGAGUCUGCAACUCGACUCCAUGAAGUCGGAGUCGCUAGUAAUCCCGGAUCAGCAACGCCGGGGUGAAUACGUUCCCGGGCCUUGUACACACCGCCCGUCACACCACGA